CCUACGGGCGGCUGCAGUGAGGAAUAUUGGUCAAUGGGCGUAAGCCUGAACCAGCCAUCCCGCGUGAAGGAAGAAGGCGCUAUGCGUCGUAAACUUCUUUUCCAGAGGAAUAAAAUUUCGUACGUGUACGGAACUGAAGGUACUUUGGGAAUAAGCAUCGGCUAACUCCGUGCCAGCAGCCGCGGUAAUACGGAGGAUGCGAGCGUUAUCCGGAUUAAUUGGGUCGUAGGCGUAUGAAGACGGAUUAAUAGAAAACCUUCAGCUUAACUGGAGAACUGCCAUUGAGACUGUUAGUCUUGAGUACGGUCAAGGUAGGCGGAAUGUGUAAUGUAGCGGUGAAAUGCUUAGAUAUUACACAGAACACCGAUUGCGAAGGCAGCUUACUGGGCCAUUACUGACGCUGAUGCACGAAAGCGUGGGGAGCGAACAGGAUUAGAUACCCCAGUAGUC
rnacentral:rRNA from 1 species